GACGAACGCUGGCGGCGUGCUUAACACAUGCAAGUCGAACGAAAAGAGGGAAAGAGCUUGCUCUUUCCGGAAUUGAGUGGCAAACGGGUGAGUAACACGUAAACAACCUGCCUUCAGGAUGGGGACAACAGACGGAAACGACUGCUAAUACCGAAUAAGUUCCAAGGGCCGCAUGGCCCAUGGAAGAAAAGGUGGCCUCUACCUGUAAGCUAUCGCCUGAAGAGGGGUUUGCGUCUGAUUAGCUGGUUGGAGGGGUAACGGCCCACCAAGGCGACGAUCAGUAGCCGGUCUGAGAGGAUGAACGGCCACACUGGAACUGAGACACGGUCCAGACUCCUACGGGAGGCAGCAGUGGGGAAUCUUCCGCAAUGGGCGAAAGCCUGACGGAGCAACGCCGCGUGAGUGAGGACGGCCUUCGGGUUGUAAAACUCUGUGAUCCGGGACGUAAAGGCAGAGUGCGAAGAACAAACUGCAUUGACGGUACCGGAAAAGCAAGCCACGGCUAACUACGUG
rnacentral:rRNA from 1 species